UGCUGGGAACGAAAAACAAUCUGCAUAUGGAAGACUAGCUAUUCACUUGAGAUCAAGCACCUCAACCCUGGUCAAGUCCCUGUUCUUGCUGCUGACCAAUUACUGUACACCGUCGCCAGGCAAAUCCAGUGUACCUGGCCAACCACCCUUAAAGAGGAUCACUUUGUGAUGAUGUUUGGUGGGCUACACAUCGAGACGGCCAUCUUGAAGGUACUGGGAGACUGGCUAGAUGAUAGCGGAUGGACAAGUGCUCUAGUGCAGACCAACAUCGCAAGCUUUGGUACAGCUGAUUCCUUCAUCAGAGCCAGCCAUGAGACAAGGACUCAGCAUGCACACCAAGUCACAACUGCAAGUAUCCACACACUACUGCACCGUGCUGAAUACACAUCUUCAGCAAUUGCACAGAGACAGAGUGUCCAGUUCGAUUAUUGGUUGAAAAUGCUAUCACUAGCGAUCGUCUUGCUGCUGUAUGUCAGAUCUCUUAGUGAAGGUGACUUCAAACUCUACAUGGAGUCGCUAACAGAGAUUGCACCCUGGAUGUUUGCACUGGAUCACACACACUAUUCCAGGUGGCUACCAGUACACAUAUGGGACAUGAUGGUACUUUCAGAAGCAUCCACAGAUCCUUGCAGAAUUCCAUGCAAGGAAGUUUGUUGUGCACAAAACAAGCAACAAGUUCUCAGCAAUGGCAAUCAGCCAGUGUCAUGAACAGAAUAAUGCAACAGUCAAAGGAUCCGGAGGACUGGGACAAUGCCGGGGCACUGAGGCAUUGGAUGGUGGCUGGUCCAGAAGCCAGGGUAUAAGGUGCAUUCCUAAAAGAUGUCAGGUAAAUAACCACGGUGGUUGAAGAGAUGGGAAAUCCAUUUCCGGCAGAAAGACAUGAUCUCACAUUCCUUGACACCAGGGAUAUCAUUGACAUAUGUGGCAGAAACCGUGUAAAAAGCUGAAGCCCUUGGUGAGGAGCAGGACAACAAAUUUGUUGAGGAAAGGUAAAAUCCUUACAUCUCAUUAUAAUGUUUGCGCCCGCUUAGUAUCCAGAUCCCAACAAAUUCCAUGCACUUUUCUUUAAUUGAAUGCAUUUCAAUAUCAUUUUAAUUGAUGAA